rnacentral:lncRNA from 1 species
AUGGAUGAGGACUCUGGUCAACAUGCAAAUGUACCUGAGGUGUCCUCCAUCACUGAUUGGAAAAAUAAGAUGAGGAAAAGCUGUUGCCAUAUUCUGUGCCAACAGACAAGUGUAUCCUACCUGGGAAAAGAAGCCAGACAGGAUUGCCAUGGGAUAUAAAAAAAGCUCAAAGUGUCUGGGAUUAAGUCCUGUUUAUAAACAUAGACAGAAAUCAUGUCAGAAGAACAAGGAUUCACCGCAACAUCAAGGCCCAUGACAUGGCAGCACUGAUGGAGGUCCCAGCCUCAGAAGGGAUGAGGAUAAACCUUGAGUGGUCACAAAUGGGAAUUCAUCACUGGGCACCCUGUACUCAUCCUCUUUGAAAGAGGAGACCGUUGAAGAAUGUUUUCUGUAGGCUAACUACAGCAGUACACCAAUUUUCUUAACCUCACUCACGUUGUCAGCACAGAUAAACUCUUUACAGGAAAUGUAAGAACUGAGGAAGUGGUUCAAGAGAGACAAAGAUGGUACAAUCCACACAACCCCAAUCCCCAACAACAGGAG